ACAGAGGUCCCAAGCGUUGUUCGGAUUUACUGGGCGUAAAGGGUGCGUAGGUGGCCAGGAAAGUCUGAUGUGAAAUCUCGGAGCCUAACUUCGAAACUGCAUUGGAGACUAGUUGGCUUGAGGUAUGGAGGGGAGAUUGGAAUUCUCGGUGUAGCAGUGAAAUGCGUAGAUAUCGAGAGGAACACCGGUGGCGAAGGCGAAUCUCUGGACAUUACCUGACGCUGAGGCACGAAAGCCAAGGGAGCAAACGGGAUUAGAUACCCCGGUAGUCUUGGCUGUAAACGGUGCGCAUUUGCUGUGGGCGGAAUCGACCCCGUCCGUGGCGAAGCUAACGCGAUAAAUGCGCCGCCUGGGGAGUACGGUCGCAAGAUUA
rnacentral:rRNA from 1 species